rnacentral:rRNA from 1 species
UACAGAGGGUGCAAGCGUUAAUCGGAAUUACUGGGCGUAAAGCGUGCGUAGACGGUUAUGUAAGUCAGAUGUGAAAGCCCCGGGCUUAACCUGGGAAUGGCAUUUGAGACUGCAUAGCUAGGGUGCGGAAGAGGGAAGCGGAAUUUCCGGUGUAGCGGUGAAAUGCGUAGAGAUCGUAAGGAAGACCAGUGGCGAAGGCGGGUCUCUGGACAGUUCCUGACACUGAGGCACGAAGGCCAGGGGAGCAAACGGGG